rnacentral:lncRNA from 1 species
CAUCCCCGCCCAUUCUUAUGCCUCACUCUGCCAGCACCAGGCAACCACUGACCUACUUUAUAUCUCUGUGGAUUUGUCUUUCUGAGUAUUUCAUAUAAAUGGAAUCACAUUACAGGUAGUCUUUUUUUUUUUUGGUACCGGAGAUCGAACUUGGGUCCUUUACAGGCAGGAUCUCACUAUGCAGUCCAGGCUGGCCUUGAUCUUGAGGUGAUCUUCCUGCCUCAGCCUACUGAGUGCUGGGAUUACAGGCAUGCACCACUAUACCUGGUCAGAUUUUACUUUUUAGCUAUUAUGAAUAAUGCUGUUAUGAAUAUUUGUGUAUAAACUUUGGUGUCAUCAAAUGUUUUCUCUUGGGUAUGUACCUAGGAGUAGAAUUGGUGGAAUUGCUGAGAAGGAUAGUAAUACUGUGUUUAAAAUUUUGAGGAGGUCACAUAGCUAUCCUAGUGGGUGUGAAAUGGUAUUAGGGUUUGAGGGGAGGCUUGAAUCCAGGGUCUUGAGCAACCUAAGUAUGCACUCAACCACCAAGCUAUACCUCUAGCCCCAGAUAUUCGUUUCUAAACAUAGAAUCUUCUUGCAUCUCUGCUUUUCCCAUCACACCUUCCAUGAUAGGAAACUUUACUAGGUAAAUUUCUUUCUUUUUUCUUUUUUUUUUGAGACAGGGUCUUAGUAUGUACUGUGUAGUUCAGGCUGGCCUUAAACUUACCAUGUGGCUGAGGCCAGCCUCAAACUUGAGGUGAUUCUCUUGCCUCAGCCUGAGUGCUGGGAUUAUAGGUCUGACUAGGUAAAUUUCAUGUAAUAAUCAUAGUUUUGUUGUUGUUUGUAUUUUUGAGGCAAGCCACUACUCAUUAUGUAGCCCAUACUGGCUUUGAACUUGUACUCCUGAUGCCUCAGGUUCCCAAGAGCUGGUAUUACAGACACUUCCAGAUGUACCCUGUUCUGAGAAGACUUGGAUCAUAGUACAGCCUGUCCUGUGUCAAAUAGGUGAACACGACUUCUGCUAAGACUUGUGCUUGAGGGUCUGUGCUGUAUGGCCUCACUUAAUAAAAUUUGUAUUAGCACACAUCACUGAGCAAAUGACUCCCUUUAUUUAUAUGACACAUGGAGACUAGCAA